rnacentral:pre_miRNA from 1 species
CCACCUCACUAACCUCUGUAGGCUGGGCUGGGCGAGUACCUCUUUGAAAGGCUCACCCUUAAGCACGACUAGGAGG